rnacentral:misc_RNA from 1 species
GCCGCUAUGCACGCGCAGGUGCUUAUCUCUAUCUGUGUCGCUCUCCGCUGCGUGCUCCCUAACACCGUGUCCACCGGAUCGCCUUCUCUCUCUGUCCCCUGAAGCGUCUCAUUGCUGCGUAGACGGGCGCUUCCUUAUUCGUUUCGGCGCUCUCCCCACCACUCCCCACCUGCUGCUGCUGAGGCUUCUUGCGGCUGCUGCCAUGCUCACCGCUGUUCCUAAAGCCGAGCCGAGGUGCCACACUGUGCCGACCUUCUCCGGCCCCCACGGCGCCGUCUUGGAGCGCAUCAACUGCAUGAUCGCCUCCGGCGACUUCGACGUCUUCUUCACCGCCCUCAAGGGGUUUCGCAACGGUCUCGUUUACGGCACGCGUGUCCGUGCCCCACACGCCCUCGUGCUGAACCUGGUCUGGAGCAAGUCGCCGUACAGCUCGAUGCCCGCCAAGAUCUUCAGUGUCACAAAGACGCACGCUUUAGGCCUCGGGUACAGCUCGGUUACCUUCGCCGUCGUGCGCGGCCUCCUGCGUAAAUUGCAAGGGACGACGCACGCAUGGCACAACGCCUUGGCAGGGUUCAUGAUCGGCGCUCUGUUCUGGGGCGACCCGAGCAACGGCGUCCACAUCCAGAUGAUGAUGUACAUACUGGCCCGAAUCGUGUGCGCUCUCUACCACCUGCUUACCUCCAAGUGCGCCGCGCCUAUUCCGCCGGUGGCGUACCGACUGUACAUGGGCUGCUUGUGGUGCCUGGCCAUCAUGUUCCUCAUGUACUCGCCAGACAAACUGCAGUCAUCCAUGGCGCAGUCCCUGGAGUACAUCUUCAAGGACAGCGGCAAGUUCAGCAGCUGGUACGACCUCGUCGUGGUGAACGCCGUUGAGACUCCGAAGUGACACCGUUGGGGUGGGGGGGGUGGGGUGCACAUGUGCUUGUGGAUACUUUGUGGCCGUGCGGCUUGUAAGCAACUGCGAAAGAGAACGGGAGGGAGGGCGCACCAUCUGGCUUCCUCGAAGAAUCCGCAGACGUUAAACGGAGCGAAGGGGGAAGGGGUGGGGUGCCACGAUAGCGUGUUGAGAGAGUAGGAGUCGAGCGGAGCGGAGUUGGAGAGCGCUUUCACACAGUGCCCUGCCAUGCCUGCUCGAUGACUUUUUUUCGCAGCUUCACUCAUGCAAACCCCCUCCCCCGCCCACAGGCACACAGGCGCAUGCGUACUGCCGUGCACGCACGAGGACCCCACUUCCUCCAACGCCCACAAUCUUUCCUUGGGGACCAUCCUGACGUUGUUGAUUUGUGAAUGCCCUUGCUGUGUCUCACCCCUGUGCAUUUCCUCGUCAUCUCGUCCUCCCUCUGCCUUCCACUUUCCAUCGCCUCUACGACUCCAUGCGUUGCCCACGCGUGUGCACUCCAAG